UCCCGGGCACCCGCUGGGACCAAUUCACCCUAACUGGCUGGUGAUACUCGCUUUAGCAGAUUUGCCCCAGGAGAUGGUCAUCCAUGCCCAGAGUUUACACAGGCCAGAGAGAACAGCUGUAGAAUCUGUAGCCUGUUGUGAUACCACGAGAGAGAAAAUAUCCGAUACAUGGCGGCCUCAAGCAGGGGUCCCCCGCCCCCUCCACUUACCCAGGCCCAUCAUGCUCCCCUCCCCUUCCCCAGGCGCGCGUAUGGAUGUGUUCUUCCUGGGAGAAACUUGGGAGAAGUUCUCAGAAUGAGCCUAAACUCUGGGAUGUAGUUGUAGGGAAUAAAUACAGCUAAGAGGUUAAACACAAACUCAUUUUGAAAAGUCAAUUAGGGGGGCGCCUGGGUGGCUCAGUCGUUAAGCGUCUGUCUUCGGCUCAGGUCAUGAUCCCACGGUCCUGGGAUCGAGCCCCACAUCGGACUCCCUGCUCUGCAAGAAGCCUGCUUCUCCCUCUUCCACUCCCCCUUCCUGUGUUCCUGCUCUCACUGUCUCUCCCUGUCGAAUGUCGAAUGUUGAAUAAGCCCUUAGGAAAGUUUCAUUAAACGCUGCAGCCGGGCACCAGCUAUGCUUUGGGGAACUACGGAGGAGCUGGGUCCAGCCUUGGGGAUAAGCGGUGCAGGAGAGGCUUCAGCUUGGAGAAGCAGGACUGAGACCUCUGAGGAUGACCAGCAGAGAGACCCGGAGGCAGAAAGGAAUGCAAGUUCCACCCUCAACACUGCAUUCCCAGUGUGGGGAACGGCACGUGGCAUGUGCCCAGUGAACGCUGGCUGGAUGACUGUGGGAGGGCACACAUCGGAACAGUGCAAGACUGCUGUGGGAACUGGUAAUAAGUGUGCCGACGGCCAGCCCCUGGGGACCUUCAGACGAUGUUGCCUGGCCUCAUCACUUGCCACUUUCUCCGUAUCUCAGCUCGGCUCUCCUCUGAUUUGCUCCGUUCUGGGGCAGGUUCUGUGUGAUGGUGACAUAGCAGUAGGGAUGCCCCACUUGUAUCCUCACGGCUCCUGGCCCAGUGGAAAGACGUGACUCUUCCUGACAGUUCCAGCAAAACCCCUGGGCCUAGAUCAGGUCAGGUCGCCACCCUGAACCAACGCCCAAAUGUGCCGACCAGACACAGCCUGGGGCACCACAGACGUGCUCCUGGAGCGGAGGGUGUGGCUACGUCCCCCCAGACCACAGGGGCACAGAGGAAGCGGGUGGGUCCUCAAGGAAAAUGGGGUUCUUUUAUCAGAAGAAGGAAUGCUGCAGAAGCAGAACGUAAGUCCACACUUCAGAGCCUUUCACAUUUAGAGAAAAUCAUGUUCUUAUUUGAAGGAAUAAAGUCUUUGCUGCUAAAAAGUUUAGUCUUAUCAGGAUACAACGUUUAA